UACGUAGGGUGCGAGCGUUGUCCGGAAUUAUUGGGCGUAAAGAGCUCGUAGGCGGUCUGUCGCGUCGAUCGUGAAAACUUGGGGCUUAACCCUGAGCUUGCGGUCGAUACGGGCAUGACUGGAGUUCGGCAGGGGAGACUGGAAUUCCUGGUGUAGCGGUGAAAUGCGCAGAUAUCAGGAGGAACACCGGUGGCGAAGGCGGGUCUCUGGGCCGAUACUGACGCUGAGGAGCGAAAGCGUGGGGGAGCGAACAGG
rnacentral:rRNA from 1 species